AGACGUUCAACCAAACAACUCAUCCGAGAGGCAUAACACUCGAGAAGCUUGCUUGCUUUACCUGUCGGGUUACCAAUCCUCCAUGGCGUUUCCCGCCAUGGCCGCCAUCGUGCUGCUCCUUCUCCUGUUGCCGUUCGCCGAUGCCGAAACACCAUGGCAGUUGUGCGGCAGCAGAGGCAAUUACACGGCGGGGAGCAACUACCAAUCCAACCUAAAUCAGCUGUCGGCAGCCCUCCCCAGGAAAGCCUCGUCCAACACGACCCUCUUCGCCACGGGCACUGCCGGCACGAUCCCGGACAUGGUCUACGCCCUCGCGCUCUGCCGCGGGGACAUCAACGCCUCCCCCUGCAACAGCUGCGUCGCCACAGGCUUCCAGGACGCGCAGCAGCUCUGCGCGUUCGCUAAGGACGCCACCGUGUACUACGAUUCCUGCCUCCUCCGCUUCUCCAACACAAACUUCUUCGCAACGACCACCGACAACGAUGUUUUGCUGAUCCUCAUGAACACCGAGAACUUCACGGAGAGCGCCGACUCCAUGAGGCUCAUGCUGUUCACGCUGCUGAACGCCACGUCCCAGGACGCGGCCAGCAGGUCGAAGAGGUUCACGACAGCGCGCCUGGACAUCAGCUCCCUGCCUACGAUGUACUGCCUGGUGCAGUGCACGCCCGACCUCACCGCCGGCGAGUGCGCGGCGUGUCUGCGGGGCUUCCCGCAGCUGACGUUUAGGUACCUCGACGGGAGCCAAGGAGGUCGAUUGAUCGGGGUGCGGUGUAACAUGAGGUACGAGAUCUACCCUUUCUACCAAGGGGACCCGAUGCUGCGUAUUAUCUCGCUGGCCCCUGCUGUACCGGCGAUCAAUGGCACACCGCCGGAAACGCCAGUCACAGUGUUUUCGCAGCCGCAGCCGCCACCAGCGAUAAUCCGAGCCGGUCCAGCACAAGAACAGAGAGGGCGCAAAAAUAAGCUGUGGAGUAUUGGUGUAGCAGUUCCUUUGCUGGCAAUUCUACUCUGCUGUAUUACGUUUCUAUGGGUGAGGAGACGCAAGAAAGGAAAUGUGAGCUUGCAGGACAAAGCUGGUAUGGAUAGGACUGAAGAAAACGCCUUGGUUUGGAGAAUUGAAGAGAAGAGUUCAGGGUUCACUCUUUUUGACCUUUCCCAGUUACAGCGGGCCACGGAAAACUUUUCUGAAGGAAACAGACUUGGACGGGGAGGUUUUGGCCCUGUGUAUAAGGGGCAAUUAUCGGAUGGGCAGGAAAUUGCAGUUAAAAGGCUUGCAUCGCAUUCAGGGCAGGGUUUUACAGAGUUCAGGAAUGAAGUCGAACUUAUAGCGAAACUGCAACAUACAAAUUUGGUUAGGCUCUUAGGAUGCUGCAUUGAAGGAGAGGAAAAAAUUUUGGUCUAUGAAUAUAUGCCAAAUAAAAGCCUGGACUUCUUUAUCUUUGAUGAAAACCAAAGCAGUUCACUUAAUUGGAGUAAACGACGUGUUAUAAUAGAAGGAAUAGCACAAGGUCUACUGUACUUGCACAAACACUCCCGGCUGCGCGUCAUACAUCGAGAUCUUAAAGCUAGCAACAUUCUCUUGGACCAGGAUAUGAACCCCAAAAUUUCGGAUUUUGGGCUUGCAAGAAUUUUUGGCUCCAAUGAUACCGAAGGAAACACAAAAAGGGUGGUCGGAACAUAUGGUUAUAUGUCUCCAGAGUAUGCCUAUAAAGGUAUCUAUUCCGUUAAAUCCGACGUAUUUAGCUUUGGUGUUCUACUUCUUGAGAUCCUUAGCGGAAAGCGGAAUUCCAGUUCUCACCAAUUUGGAGACUUCAUUAACCUUCUUGGAUAUACCUGGCACCUGUGGGAGGAAGGAAGAUGGCUUGAGCUUGUAGAAGCAUCAAUUUCUAAGGAGAUGCAUGAAGCACAGGCUAGGAGGUACAUUAACAUCGCGCUAAUGUGUGUCCAAGAGAAUGCAGACGAUCGGCCCACCAUGUCAGACGUUGUUGCCGCGCUAAAUAGUGAGAGUGUGGUUCUACCUGAGCCUAAGCAUCCGGCGUACUUCAACCUGAGUGUCCAAAGCAAUGGAAUCAGCUACUGUUGUUGAGAGUUGUAGUCUGAAUGAUGUAACUAUUACUCAAGACCCAGAAGGCAGAUAGUAGGUGUAGAAUGCGACGCCGCGAUCGACGGAUGCGGUGAAGGUCGAGCGAAAGGUUCAUACCGAUGGACCAAGAGUGGUGAAGGAUGGACACAAGUAGGCUUGGACCGAGGGACCCGAGGAGUCCAGGCAGAGUCAUCGACAAUUCACUUGGUGCACGGAAGAGUAAGAGUAUAUGGACAUGAUGAAUAAGUCGUCGGUCAAGUUAGGGAGGAAGGCGAUGGCCAGUUCGAGUAGGCUGCCCAUGCGCCGGGAGCGCGAAAGAUCUUGAAAGUGUUGUGACAGUUGGCGGGAGGCUGGACAGGCGUCGACAUCAGAGGUGGUAAGUUUACCAGUUUGGGCCUCAAAACCGAGCGGCAACAGGUUUACCGGUUUGAGCCUCAAAAUCGAAGGUGCGUCCGGAUGGCAGUUGCGGAGGGCACAUAUCGUCAUCGCAAAACUUGCGUCGAGGCGAAACGGAGUCGUGAAGACGGCGUGUCCGUCCGGUGGUAUAAGUAAAACUUGGACGGUUUUAGCCAUCGGGGAUAUUUGGGUUAAGUGCUUCAUGUAAGGAUGUUUUGGUCAUUUGCCGAGCCUAUAUACAUGUGGACGGGAUGAUGAGCAGUUUUGCCUCUUUUGCAUCUCUCAUUUUAGAGGUCCUCUCAUUUGAUUGUGAGAUAAUUAGGGAAGAGUGGCUCUUUGAUUUGAGUUUUUUGUCAUUAUAACUUUGAUUGUUGCUAGUAGUGGUUUGUAAGAGCACUCCCAAUGGUACAAUUAUAGCAGUUUCUAUGUGUAUUAAUUAGGUUGUUAUAUUAA